rnacentral:rRNA from 1 species
GAUGGGCGUCGACCGGCGCACGGGUGAGUAACGCGUAUCCAACCUGCCCACCACUUGGGGAUAACCUUGCGAAAGUAAGACUAAUACCCAAUGAUAUCUCUAGAAGACAUCUGAAAGAGAUUAAAGAUUUAUCGGUGAUGGAUGGGGAUGCGUCUGAUUAGCUUGUUGGCGGGGUAACGGCCCACCAAGGCAACGAUCAGUAGGGGUUCUGAGAGGAAGGUCCCCCACAUUGGAACUGAGACACGGUCCAAACUCCUACGGGAGGCAGCAGUGAGGAAUAUUGGUCAAUGGACGAGAGUCUGAACCAGCCAAGUAGCGUGCAGGAUGACGGCCCUAUGGGUUGUAAACUGCUUUUAUAAGGGAAUAAAGUGAGUCUCGUGAGAUUUUUUGCAUGUACCUUAUGAAUAAGGACCGGCUAAUUCCGUGCCAGCAGCCGCGGUAAUACGGAAGGUCCGGGCGUUAUCCGGAUUUAUUGGGUUUAAAGGGAGCGUAGGCCGGAGAUUAAGCGUGUUGUGAAAUGUAGAUGCUCAACAUCUGCACUGCAGCGCGAACUGGUUUCCUUGAGUACGCACAAAGUGGGCGGAAUUCGUGGUGUAGCGGUGAAAUGCUUAGAUAUCACGAAGAACUCCGAUUGCGAA